GGAGCACAGCGUUGCCAGGCUAACAGGACUUGAGGCAACUGCAGGGCCUGUGGCAUUGUCUUUGGUCUGUUAUGUAACAGACAGUCAAAGGACUGGCUUGUUUGCCCUUGCUUUGCCUAGCUUGAAGAAUGGCUUGCUUUGCCUCUUGACGGUGGCAGUGUGUGCACUACGCUAGCAGAGUGAGAAGGAGGCAAACAGGAUACCGGCGCUGAUAGUUAUCCAGUGAAUCUCUGACACUUAUCUGAUGCCUAGUCUCACCAUGUAUAUUGCUAAAGCUUUAACAGUGCUCACAUUGUGCUCGUGGCUGGCAACGGGUUCUACAGACUGCAGUGAUCUGGUGAGAUACUUGAGGCCAGAUGAUAUCAACUUGGUCUUUGGUAAGUGGACCGUUGCAAUUACAGCAGCGGAUGAGACUCUUCAUAGAACUGUGCAGCCGCUCACAAGCUCCUGGUAUGAAGUUACAACCCUGGAUAGUGCAGAAAUCCAUUUCCAUUGGGGAGAGAGAAUAAAGGGUGUAUGCACAUACGGAUCUGCAAAUGCAAGUGUUCAUGGAGAUCGUAUAGCUCUGUCAGUUGAUUCAGAGCUGUACAAGGGUCAGUACCUGCACACUUGCCCUGACUGUCAGCUGGCAGUUACCAAGGCAGAGAUCAAUGGUGUGUCUGGCCGCUACUUCAUCUUGGCAAAGCGAGUGGGGAGUUUAACAGACUCAGAACGCCAGAUAUUUGAAAAGCAAGCAGAAUGUCUGAACUUCCCUUCUACCUAUUUCACCUUCCCUAAUGCAUCAGAACUCUGCCCCGAACAGGAGCAACCUACAGAAGUCAGAACAACAUAAAAUGUCAGAGGUGUCUACAUGGAUAUGAUAUAGAAUAUAAGUUAUUCCACGUACACAGAUACAAAGAAAUGCAAUACUAGACAACUGUAGUCAUUGCCAGAGUUGUGCUAUUGUCAUUGUUAAUCAAAUGUAGGAAAAAGUAGGGAAUAUGCACAAACAUGUCCCUUUUCCCAUGGUUUGUAAUCUGUUAAUGUGUUUACUCAGAUAGUUUGUGAGAUGAAAUAAUGCAACAUAAUCAGCUUGUAAUCAUGCUUGGGUUUUAUGCUGAUCUUGCCCUCUCUGUCACCAUAAUGCAAGACCCACUAAGCCAUUAGCGACCCUGUCUGCAUUACCUCUGGCAUUCCAGGGACUUGCCUAACACUACUUUGUAUCAGCUGAGACAGCUUUUUUUGCUCCAAUAAAUGUGUCAAACAAGCAUCA
rnacentral:lncRNA from 1 species